GCUCAGAAACUCAAAUGAAUUGACGGGGCCCGCACAAGCGGAGGAGCAUGUGGUUAAUUCGAUGAUACGCGAGGAACCUACCUGGGCUCGAACGUAAGAUGACUGUAGGUGAAAGCUUACAUCUCUUCGGAGCAUUUUACGAGGUGCUGCAUGGUUGUCGUCAGCUCGUGCCGUGAGGUGUCGGGUUAAGUCCCAUAACGAGCGCAACCCCUACCUUUAGUUGCCAUCAGGUUAAGCUGGGGACUCUAAAGGAACUGCCUACGCAAGUAGUGAGGAAGGCGGGGAUGACGUCAAAUCAGCACGGCCCUUACGUCCAGGGCUACACACGUGCUACAAUGGCCGAUACAGAGGGCAGCUACCUGGUGACAGGAUGCAAAUCUCCAAAGUCGGUCUCAGUUCGGAUCGGAGUCUGCAACCCGACUCCGUGAAGUUGGAUUCGCUAGUAAUCGCGCAUCAGCCAUGGCGCGGUGAAUACGUUCCCGGGCCUU
rnacentral:rRNA from 1 species